rnacentral:rRNA from 1 species
GGAAUCUUCCACAAUGGACGCAAGUCUGAUGGAGCAACGCCGCGUGAGUGAAGAAGGGUUUCGGCUCGUAAAGCUCUGUUGUUAAAGAAGAACGUGGGUAAGAGUAACUGUUUACCCAGUGACGGUAUUUAACCAGAAAGCUACGGCUAACUACGUGCCAG